UGUACGUUCACACCAACGACUAUGAGAUAGAGCGUGAUGCACGAGUAAUAAGGUACAUCCUUAUGAGAAGACAAAAAGAAAGGAUUUCAUUCACCCCACAAUUGAUGAAUUGAAUGAAGCUAGGAAGUACCACCGGGCUUGUAACCCAAGUGGUAUCCGAUUUAUCAUGAAACCAUUAGUUCGGUGGUUCAAGCCCCCGCACCUACCAAAAAAAAAAAAAAAAAAAAAAAAAGAAUGAAGCUAGGAAGUAAAGGUGCAUGGUAUGGAGACGACUUCAUGGUUAUUUCAAAGAUUCUCUGACACUAUGCUAUAGAAUCCAAUUCACGAAGAUAGCAAUAAUUUGUACAAUGACAUUUCUUGUU